UACAUGGGUAUAAUAUUAAAUGUAGUCCAGCCUGCCCACUGAAUAUAAAUUUUAAAGGGCCGCGGUACACUGACCGUGCUAAGGUAGCAUAAUCAAUAGUCUUUUAAUUGGAGACUGGAAUGAACGGCUAGAUAAAAAGUUUACUGUCUAUAAAAUAAAUCUUGAAUUUUACUUUUAAGUGAAAAGGCUUAAAUAUAUUAAAGUGACGAUAAGACCCUAUAAAACUUUAUAAUAAAUUAUGAUUAUCUUAAAUUUUAAAUCAAAAUAUAUUUCAUAUAUUACUAUUUAGUUGGGGCGACUGAGAUAUAAAAAAUCUGUCUUUAGUAAAAAAUACUUAUAAUUAGAUCAAGAUCCUUUAUUAAGGAUUAAAAGGCUAAGUUACUUUAGGGAUAACAGCGUGAUUUUUCUUAAGAGUUCUUAUCGACAGAAUAAGUUGCGACC
rnacentral:rRNA from 1 species